CGAAGGCUAGCAAUGCGGCCUCAGUUCGUUUAGAAUUGUUGAGUUGUUCGCACGUGUUUUGUUUUUAUAGUAUGCGCUGACGGGGAGUUCAUAACAAGUAAUCAGAAUUGGUAAACAGAUAUGCUGCUGUUGAUGAGCUUUGGAGAGAAGCGUUUUGAUAAAGCAAAUAGAAUAAGAUAACAGUAAAGCAAAAAAAAUAAUAAUAAAUAAAUAAAUAACAUAAAAAAAAAAUAAAAAAAUUUUAAUGCAUACAAAAACAACUAAAAACAUGUUGUAAACACAACGGCGUAAACGUAAAUAUUUAAUUUUCAGUCAUUAAAAAAACAACAAUAACAAUAAAAAAAAUUAAAAUUGCUAAAUAAACCGAAAAAAACCAAUAAAAAAUAAAUUUAACGUGAAUGUGUAAACACAGUUAAUACCGGAAAGUGCAAAUAAAUUUUUAGACAAAAA